UGCCAGCCGCCGCGGUAAUACCGGCAGCCCGAGUGAUGGCCGAUCUUAUUGGGCCUAAAGCGUCCGUAGCUGGCCGGGCAAGUCCAUCGGGAAAUCCACCCGCUCAACGGGUGGACGGCCGACGGAAACUGCACAGCUUGGGACCGGAAGGCUCGAAGGGUACGUUCGGGGUAGGAGUGAAAUCCCAUAAUCCCGCACGGACCACCGAUGGCGAAAGCACUUCGAGAAAACGGAUCCGACAGUGAGGGACGAAAGCCAGGGUCUCCAACCGGAUUAGAUACCCCAGUAGUCC
rnacentral:rRNA from 1 species